rnacentral:rRNA from 1 species
CCUACGGGAGGCAGCAGUGGGGAAUAUUGGACAAUGGGGGCAACCCUGAUCCAGCAAUGCCGCGUGAGUGAUGAAGGCCUUAGGGUUGUAAAGCUCUUUUACCGGGGACGAUGAUGACGGUACCCGGAGAAUAAGCCCCGGCUAACUUCGUGCCAGCAGCCGCGGUAAUACGAAGGGGGCGAGCGUUGUUCGGAGUUACUGGGCGUAAAGGGCGCGUAGGCGGCGCUCCAAGUUAGGCGUGAAAGCCCCGGGCUCAACCUGGGAAUAGCGCUUAAGACUGGAGUGCUUGAGUGCGGGAGAGGUGAGUGGAAUUCCCAGUGUAGAGGUGAAAUUCGUAGAUAUUGGGAAGAACACCAGUGGCGAAGGCGGCUCACUGGCCCGCAACUGACGCUGAGGCGCGAAAGCGUGGGGAGCAAACAGGAUUAGAUACCCUGGUAGUCCACGCCGUAAACGAUGAGUGCUAGACGUUGGGAGACUUAGUCUCUUAGUGUCGCAGCUACGACAUGAGCACUCCGCCGUCGGGUAGGUACGGUCCGGCCGAACGGUUAAAACGUUAAAACGGUAAAGUUAGUACGGCGUGAGACGUGCCGAACGGACGACCGACGAGGGAGUAGG